AACGCAAUAAAACUGUAUAAUGAAUCACAAUCGCAAGCAAGUCUAAUCAAAAUAUAUUAAAUCAUAUAAUAUAUAAUGUCAUUUCCGACCUGACUUCCUCAGACGAGUAGUCAGUGUCAGUAGAUUCACAAUUGUCUCUCUUGAAAUGCUACAAAGAUUGAUUGUCAUCAAUGCUUCAUUAUUAAGAUGAUUGAUUGUUGCUGAUGCCAGAUUACAAUGACUGUUUUUCACCAUCUCCAGAUUAUGAAGAGUUCCUCCAGUCAAGAAAACUGAAUUAUCAUGUUAAAAAUUAAAUACAAAGACAGUAUCAGAUGUGAAAAAUUAAAAGACACAAUAGAAGUCAGACAGGUUUAUCUUUUGUGUAUCACAUGGUAAUGUGGGACUGUCAAAGAGUUAUUGGGUGGAUAGUGAAUCCACCUUUCCUUCACUAUCUGCAGUAAAGAGAGAGCUUCAUCAAAAGCAUGUACAGCUGACAAGCUGAUGUGAAAUCUCUAGUUUCAGAAAGUCUUUCAAGUAACGGAAGGUCAGAAAGCUUCAUGCCUACAUCUUCAGCCAGGCGGGACAAAACUGUUUUAUCUUUGACAGUA